GGGGGAGAGGGGACCGCUGCCGCAAUGCGCGCCUCCGCCGAAGCCCGUGUGCCCAGAUGGAGAGAGGGGGCGCCGUGCGCGCGGACUCUGCUUGCGCGCCCCCGCCUGGGGCUAUAAAAGCCUCGCCACCUGCUGCCACUAGUGCGUCCAGUUGCCGGGAGAAGUCAGUUCACCUCCUCCAGCGAUAGCUCCUCUGGACAUGGACCCUGAGACCUGCCCUUGCCCUACUGGCGGUUCCUGCACCUGCGAAGAAGGCUCCUGCAAGUGCGAGGGAUGCAAAUGCACCUCCUGCAAGAAGAAAUGUGAGAAAUGCGCCAAGGAUUGCGUGUGCAAAGGUGGAGAGGGUACGGAGGCUGGGGCUGAGAAGUGCAGCUGCUGCCAGU